rnacentral:rRNA from 1 species
CCGCACAAGCGGUGGAGCAUGUGGUUUAAUUCGAAGCAACGCGCACACKCCCCMCCAAAUCUUGACAUCMUUUGACAACUCUAGAGAUAGAGCMUUCCCCUUSGGGGGACAAAGUGCCAGGUGGWGCAUGGUUGUCGUCAGCUCGUGUCGUGAGCUGUUGGGUUAAGUCCCGCAACGAGCGCAACCCWUAAGCUUAGUUGCCAUCAUUAAGYUGGGCACUSUAAGUUGACUGCCGGWGACAAACCGGAGGAAGGUGGGGAUGACGUCAAAUCAUCAUGCMCMUUAUGAUWUGGGCUACACACGUGSUACAAUGGACAAUACAAAGGGCAGCGAAACCGCGAGGUCAAGCAAAUCCCAUAAAGUUGUUCUCAGUUCGGAUUGUAGUCUGCAACUCGACUACAWGAAGCYGGAAUCGCUAGUAAUCGUAGAUCASCAUGUACGGUGAAUACGUUCCC